CGGCCAAAUAACGUUGAAACACCGGUUUCCCUUAUGAUCACCGAAGUUAAGCAACGUCGUUCCUCGUCAGUACCUAGAUGGGUGACCAAUAGGGAAUACCAGGUGUUGUC